rnacentral:misc_RNA from 1 species
GAUGAAGAACGUAGCGAAAUGCGAUAAGUAAUGCGAAUUGCAGAAUUUCCGUGGGUCAUCGAAUCUUUGAACGCACAUUGCGCCCACUGGUAUUCCGGUGGGCAUGCCUGUUCGAGCGUCAUUAUCCUCCCUCAAACCCCGGGUUUGGUGUUGGACCCAAGUUGUGUGAACAACUGGUCUUAAAGACAAUGACGGCGUCCGUGGGACCCUCGGUGCAACGAGCUUUUAGGAGCACGCAUCGAGUUGCAAGGACCUUCCGGGCCGGUCUCCUUUACUAUUUUACAAGGUUGACCUCGGAUCAGGUAGGAAUACCCGCUGAACUUAAGCAUAUCAAUAAGCGGAGGA